UCUUGGUUACUGCCCAAUGUUCUAUCCGAACAACUUGUGUAUGAUCAGGCAGAGAAAAGAUGCCUUCUGAGAAAGUCUAUGGGGAGAAAAGUACUAUCUGAACUGGAGAUGGUCCGACUGGAAAAAGUUUUGCAUGCCUCUGCUUGGCUAACUGCUACCUGAUUCUUCGUUCCAGAACUGCCAGACUGUUUUCCAAGGGGGCCACACCAUUUUACAUUUCUACAAGCAGUGGGCGGUGUUACCAUUUCUCCACUCCCUUGCCAACACUUGGUACUUGUCAUUUUCGUGACAGCCAUAGGGAGGAAAACAGUGUAUCUGCUGUUAGUGUUGGACAAGUUACUCUGUCCAUGUUCUUUGUUUCCUUCCCUUCCCUGAGAUACAACCACACCUAAUUUCCUGAGCCUAAACACCCCUCAACACCGACGAAGGAGUAACAUCAAAAGUUAGGUAAGCAUUGC